rnacentral:lncRNA from 1 species
CAUUUUAUCAAUUUUAGUUUCCCAAUUUAACUUUUCACAUUCGUUUGUGUUGUGACCAAAAUAAAUUCCUAAGGCUUUAACUGGUUUGUCCGUCCAGCGUAUUCCCUCAAUUUUAUCUUUACUAUGUUUAAGCGCCCCUAUCCAUAUUCCUUCUGUUUUACUACGAUUUAAUCUCAGACCUGAGAAAGAACCAAACGUUUCUAUUAUAUUCAUAGCAUUUGAUAUGUCGGUUUUUGAACUACAAAAAAAGAGUUGUAUCAUCCGCCAAUUGAGAUAUUUUUAUGCUAUGUGUUUUUUUAUCAAUAGUAAUUCGAAUACCUUUGAUGUCGGGGUUUUGUCGUAAUCUCAAAGCCAUAAUUUCUACUGACAAAACAAAAAGUAAAGCAGAUAAAGGGCAUCCUUGACGGAUUCCUCUGGAGUUUUCAAAAAUCUCAGAUACCUAUCC